AGAUCUGAUGGACGACGAAGAAUAUAUUGUUUGUGAUGAUGCAAAACAGGAAACAAGGAGCAUCCGCAUUCAUAAAUAGGCAGCAAAAUCAGUGCAUCCGCGUCAGGAACAAAGCAGAAACUGCCGGCCACCAGCAGCAUCAGCACACCUAACAACGGCGAGGCGUGGUGCAUCACCUGACAGCCGACAGCAACAUCACAAGGGCGGCAAGGUGCUGUGCAUCAACUGACACCUGACAGCAGUACCGACGGUGAGACGCCUGCAGCUCGCGAUGCGAAGUGAGAUACGCGCGCGUAAAGAUGCGCGCGCGGAGGGGUGGAAUACCAAGUUGUUAAAAAUAGCAACCUCAUUUAGCAAACUGUUGGAGAUAAAAUUUUAUUGUUUUAUCAAAUUUUUAAAGAUGGCAAUUUUAUUUGGCAAACUGUUGGAGAUGCUCUAACCCUAUCUUAUCUUUUCUUUCUGCUUCCACUUGCUACGCGCCACCACCGGCCGCCCCUUCGCGCAGCCAUGGACAACGCCCCAUCCACGCCGCCACCCUCGCUUCCUCCCCAUCCACGGCAUGCGCUCAAACUGUGUCGGUGCCCUAGCCCUAUGGGGCGCACCUCCACCUGCAGCAGCUCCACCAACCGGCGGCCCGGCGCCCAGAUCCAGAUGAGAGGACGUCGACGCCGCGUAUUCGUAGGCGAGGCACAGGCGGAGGGAGAGGUAGUGGUUCGCUUCCCGUCCCGACCCUGCACUGCCACAGCUCGGGUACGUCUCAUCCCACCAUCGCCCCCCACCCCAGAGGCGAGUUCUGUAGGCCUACGACCGUGCUGCAACCCUGGCCGGGGCUGAGCUUGUCCGUCCAAGCCAUGCUUUCGCCUCCAGGUCUGCACAUCUUGAGCUCCUCCAGAACGCUAGUGCUCCCAUCUGAAGUGCUAGCUGCUGAUUGGGAGCAGAGCAGCUUGGAUUUUUCAGAAGCAGAUCUAGUGCUUAGCUUGUGACUAGGACGGUAGGCCAAAGUGGCGCAGGAUGGAUUUCACAAGGUAAUGUUUGUAUUAUCUCCACAAGGUAAUUAUCUGAAGGGACUGAGAUUAUUUUCUUCUAUUUUAGUUUCCAUAAUCUUGAUUCUGCAACCUUUAGAUUAAGUUUGGUUUGUUCAGAUUGAGAUAUAGAGGAUAAAUUUGGUUAAUCAAAUAAAAAAUCAGGAUUCAUCUUGGUUGAGAUCUUGCUCAAUGUUUAGAGUAAAUUGUGAAUGCACAAUGACUUUAGAGUAAAAUGUGAAUGCACAAUAUUCAGAGAAAUAAACAAUGCAGUGUCCUUCGUAGGUUCAUUUUGGUGUUUUAUUAGGUUUUAAAUUUAAACUUUCAGGUUGCUAAAUUUUCUCAUUGGUAACAUAAGGAAAAUGGUGUACUAGUUCAAGAUUUGUUGUAUCAAAUUUUCUCAUAGCUGUCAUCUCUUUUCUAUUAUUAAGUACUGCAUCAAUUUUUCUACAGUCAGUCAUUGUUAUCUGGUAUAUUUUGAUCACGAGAUAGGAGCCUGCACAUAUAUACUUGGUGAUUUAGUACUGAAGCUCAUUGGAAAUUUAUUAUCAAAACAUUUUCUGUGAAAAAUGCACAUACUCUAUUUCUUCACAUCUGAGAAGUGACUGAAAUUGUCUACAUUGUGUUGGUACAUGCUGAUGCCUUCAUUUUUUUUUCAAUUCAGAAAUAAUAUAGGUAGUAUGACACAUUCUAAAAAUAUCACCUUGCAGAUUCAUACUCAAUAUAUGUAUAUGACAUGUCGAACCAAAGAGUUGAUCUAAUAAAAUUUUAUUUUAUUUUAUUGCAGCAAAUUCAGAGCUGUGGGCACCUUGCAAACUCAUCCUUUUGCUGCUUCAUUUCAAGUUUAGACCAACUUCUGUAGAGAACUUUUAGCACAGUUAACUAGAAGUCAUAUUGAGGUGUCAUUCAUUUGGAGAUCUCAUUUAGACUUUUGUGUAGUAUUCAUUUUUUCAUUCUAAUGCCAAUCUUUUGUGCAGUAUUCUUUUUUUCAUUCUAAUGCCAAUAACUUGAUGGAUGGAUCUGAACUGUAUGUAUAAAUCAUACAGCUGAGGUUGUAAUUAAGGAUGAGGUCUGCUGCUGUAAAUUAUUUUUUUUAACUUUCUGUAGUUGGUUUCCUUAUGCCGUCAGGAUUUGGCCAA